AGUGAACGCUGGCGGUAGGCCUAACACAUGCAAGUCGAACGGCAGCACAGUAAGAGCUUGCUCUUACGGGUGGCGAGUGGCGGACGGGUGAGGAAUACAUCGGAAUCUACUUUUUCGUGGGGGAUAACGUAGGGAAACUUACGCUAAUACCGCAUACGACCUACGGGUGAAAGCAGGGGAUCUUCGGACCUUGCGCGAUUGAAUGAGCCGAUGUCGGAUUAGCUAGUUGGCGGGGUAAAGGCCCACCAAGGCGACGAUCCGUAGCUGGUCUGAGAGGAUGAUCAGCCACACUGGAACUGAGACACGGUCCAGACUCCUACGGGAGGCAGCAGUGGGGAAUAUUGGACAAUGGGCGCAAGCCUGAUCCAGCCAUACCGCGUGGGUGAAGAAGGCCUGCGGGUUGUAAAGCCCUUUUGUUGGGAAAGAAAGCAGCAGGUUAAUACCCCGCUGUUCUGACGGUACCCAAAGAAUAAGCACCGGCUAACUUCGUG
rnacentral:rRNA from 1 species